CGAUUCUGGCUCAGAUUGAACGCUGGCGGCGUGCUUAACACAUGCAAGUCGCGCGUGAAAGGACUUCGGUCCGAGUAAAGCGGCGCACGGGUGAGUAACGCGUGGAUGAUCUACCAUGAGUUAGGAAUAACGGCUGGAAACGGUCGCUAAUACCAAAUACGCUCCGAUUUCAACUUCGGGGGAAAGGUGGCCUCUGCUUGCAAGCUACUGCUCAUGGAUGAGUCCGCGUCCCAUUAGCUAGUUGGUGGGGUAACGGCCCACCAAGGCGACGAUGGGUAGCCGGUCUGAGAGGAUGACCGGCCACACUGGGACUGGAACACGGCCCAGACUCCUACGGGAGGCAGCAGUGGGGAAUAUUGCGCAAUGGGCGAAAGCCUGACGCAGCGACGCCGCGUGAGGGAUGAAGGUCCUCGGAUCGUAAACCUCUGUCAGGAGGGAAGAACCGCCACGGUGCUAAUCAGCCGUGGUCUGACGGUACCUCCAAAGGAAGCACCGGCUAACUCCGUGCCAGCCGCUGC
rnacentral:rRNA from 1 species